rnacentral:rRNA from 1 species
GGGCCCGCACAAGCGGUGGAGCAUGUGGUUUAAUUCGAUGAUACGCGAGGAACCUUACCAGGGCUUAAAUGUAGGUUGCAUGAUCUAGAGAUAGAUCUUUCUUCGGACUACCUACAAGGUGCUGCAUGGUUGUCGUCAGCUCGUGCCGUGAGGUGUCAGGUUAAGUCCUAUAACGAGCGCAACCCCUGUCGUUAGUUACCAGCAAGUAAUGUUGGGUACUCUAGCGAGACUGCCGGUGCAAACCGUGAGGAAGGUGAGGACGACGUCAAGUCAUCAUGGCCCUUACGAGUAGGGCUACACACGUGCUACAAUGGGGAAUACAGACGGACGCUAAGCCGCGAGGUGGUGCU